CCACGCACCCACCCGGACUCAGAGUCUCCUCAGACGCCGAGAUGCGGGUCAUGUCGCCCCGAACCCUCCUCCUGCUGCUCUCGGGGGCCCUGGCCCUGACCGAGACCUGGGCCGGCUCGCACUCCUUGAGGUAUUUCGGCACCGCGGUGUCCCGGCCCGGCCGCGGGGAGCCCCGCUUCUUCGCCGUGGGCUACGUGGACGACACGCAGUUCGUGCGGUUCGACAGCGACGCCGAGAGUCCGAGGAUGGAGCCGCGGGCGCCGUGGAUGGAGCAGGAGGGGCCGGAGUAUUGGGAAGAGCAGACGCGGAAAGCCAAGGCCCACGCACAGACUGACCGAGUGGACCUGCGGACCCUGCUCCGCUACUACAACCAGAGCGAGGCCGGGUCUCACACCAUCCAGUGGAUGUACGGCUGCGACCUGGGACCCGACGGGCGCCUCCUCCGCGGGUACCGGCAGGACGCCUACGACGGCAAGGAUUACAUCGCCCUGAACGAGGACCUGCGCUCCUGGACCGCCGCGGACAUGGCGGCUCAGAACACCCAGCGGAAGUGGGAGGCGGCCGGUGAGGCGGAGCAGAUGAGAGCCUACCUGGAGGGGACGUGCGUGGAGUGGCUCCGCAGAU